GACGAACGCUGGCGGCGUGCUUAACACAUGCAAGUCGAACGGAGCACCCUUGACGGAGUUUUCGGACAACUGAUAGGAAUGCUUAGUGGCGGACUGGUGAGUAACGCGUGGGGAACCUGCCUUGGAGAGGGGAAUAACACAGAGAAAUUUGUGCUAAUACCGCAUAAUGCAGUUGGGUCGCAUGGCUCUGACUGCCAAAGAUUUUAUCGCUCUGAGAUGGCCUCGCGUCUGAUUAGCUAGUAGGCGGGGUAACGGCCCACCUAGGCGACGAUCAGUAGCCGGACUGAGAGGUUGACCGGCCACAUUGGGACUGAGACACGGCCCAG
rnacentral:rRNA from 1 species